AAAACUGUGCAAUGCGCGAAAGCGCGACACGGGAAACCUGAGUGCCUUGACAAAGUCAAGGCUUUUCUUAAGCCUAAAAAGCUUAAGGAAUAAGAGCUGGGUAAGACGGGUGCCAGCCGCCGCGGUAACACCCGCAGCUCGAGUGGUGGUCACUUUUAUUGAGCCUAAAGCGUUCGUAGCCGGUCCUGUAAAUCUUCAGAAAAAUUCUCCCGCUCAACGGGAGAUCCUCUGAAGAGACUGUGGGACUAGGGACUGGGUGAGGUUGAAUGUACUUCUGGGGUAGGGGUAAAAUCCUGUAAUCCUGGAAGGACAACCGGUGGCGAAGGCGUUCAACUAGAACAGAUCCGACGGUGAGGAACGAGGGCUAGGGGAGCAA
rnacentral:rRNA from 1 species